AUUGAACGCUGGCGGCAGGCCUAACACAUGCAAGUCGAGCGGAUGACGGGAGCUUGCUCCUUGAUUCAGCGGCGGACGGGUGAGUAAUGCCUAGGAAUCUGCCUGGUAGUGGGGGACAACGUUUCGAAAGGAACGCUAAUACCGCAUACGUCCUACGGGAGAAAGCAGGGGACCUUCGGGCCUUGCGCUAUCAGAUGAGCCUAGGUCGGAUUAGCUAGUUGGUGAGGUAAUGGCUCACCAAGGCGACGAUCCGUAACUGGUCUGAGAGGACGAUCAGUCACACUGGAACUGAGACACGGUCCAGACUCCUACGGGAGGCAGCAGUGGGGAAUAUUGGACAAUGGGCGAAAGCCUGAUCCAGCCAUGCCGCGUGUGUGAAGAAGGUCUUCGGAUUGUAAAGCACUUUAAGUUUGGAGGAAGGGCAGUAAGCUAAUACCUUGCUGUUUUGACGUUACCGACAGAAUAAGCACCGGCUAACUCUGUGCCAGCAGCCGCAGUAA
rnacentral:rRNA from 1 species